UGGUGUGAUCAUACCAGCGUUAAUGCACCAGAUCCCAUCGGAACUCUGCAGUUAAGUGCGCUUGGGCUAGAGUAGUACUGGGAUCGGUGACCUCCCGGGAAGUCCUAGUGUUGCACCCU
rnacentral:rRNA from 1 species